rnacentral:rRNA from 1 species
GGGGGAAUAUUGGACAAUGGGCGAAAGCCUGAUCCAGCAAUGCCGCGUGAGUGAUGAAGGCCUUAGGGUUGUAAAGCUCUUUUACCCGGGAUGAUAAUGACAGUACCGGGAGAAUAAGCUCCGGCUAACUCCGUGCCAGCAGCCGCGGUAAUACGGAGGGAGCUAGCGUUGUUCGGAAUUACUGGGCGUAAAGCGCACGUAGGCGGCUACUCAAGUCAGAGGUGAAAGCCCAGGGCUCAACCUUGGAACUGCCUUUGAAACUAGGUAGCUAGAAUUCUGGAGAGGUCAGUGGAAUUCCGAGUGUAGAGGUGAAAUUCGUAGAUAUUCGGAAGAACACCAGUGGCGAAGGCGACUGACUGGACAGAUAUUGACGCUGAGGUGCGAAAGCGUGGGGAGCAAGCAGAUUAGAUACC